GGUUGCCUCAGUACGGCGAGUGAGCGGCAACAGCUCAAAUUUGAAAUCUGGCCGCAAGGUCCGAGUUGUAAUUUGCAGAGGAUGCUUUUGGCGAGGUGCCUUCCGAGUUCCCUGGAACGGGACGCCAUAGAGGGUGAGAGCCCCGUACGGUUGGACCACCGAGCCUCUGUAAAGCUCCUUCGACGAGUCGAGUAGUUUGGGAAUGCUGCUCUAAAUGGGAGGUGUACGUCUUCUAAAGCUAAAUACCGGCCAGAGACCGAUAGCGCACAAGUAGAGUGAUCGAAAGAUGAAAAGCACUUUGAAAAGAGGGUUAAAAAGUACGUGAAAUUGUUGAAAGGGAAGCGUUUAUGACCAGACUUGGGCUUGGUUGAACAUCCGGCGUUCUCGCCGGUGCACUCUGCCAGUCCAGGCCAGCAUCAGUUUGUCCCGGGGGAUAAAGGCGGUGGGAAUGUGGCUCCCCCGGGAGUGUUAUAGCCCGCCGUGCAAUGCCCUGGGACGGACUGAGGAACGCGCUUCGGCACGGAUGCUGGCGUAAUGGUCAUCAACGACCCGUCUUGACACGGGACCA
rnacentral:rRNA from 1 species